rnacentral:rRNA from 1 species
UGGGGAAUCUUAGACAAUGGGGGCAACCCUGAUCUAGCCAUGCCGCGUGAGUGAUGAAGGCCUUAGGGUUGUAAAGCUCUUUCAGCUGGGAAGAUAAUGACGGUACCAGCAGAAGAAGCCCCGGCUAACUCCGUGCCAGCAGCCGCGGUAAUACGGAGGGGGCUAGCGUUGUUCGGAAUUACUGGGCGUAAAGCGCACGUAGGCGGAUUGGAAAGUUGGGGGUGAAAUCCCGGGGCUCAACCCCGGAACUGCCUCCAAAACUACCAGUCUUGAGGUCGAGAGAGGUGAGUGGAAUUCCGAGUGUAGAGGUGAAAUUCGUAGAUAUUCGGAGGAACACCAGUGGCUAAAGCGGCUCACUGGCUCGAUACUGACGCUG